GAAUUUGUGCAUGGUGAAAAUGAUUUGGUUUCGUAGUCAUAGUAGAGGUGCAGGUUCUUCUUGCUUGAAUCCCAGUUUUGGCUCAUUCUUCUUCUAAAGAAAAAUUGGAUGUACAUAACUUGUUUGUGAAAAUGACACAGAAGAGUGCACUCUUGAUCCCCUUAUAGUGAUUGUUGAUUGUGACAUUACGGCACUAUACGUUUACUUUCUCAUAGUUUUGUGUUGGAGGAAACAAGCUAUGGUUGUUUUCUUGCUAAUUGGUACAAUAGGGUCACCAA